rnacentral:lncRNA from 1 species
CCGAUAUGUAGUCUUUCAUGAAUCUACUUAUCCUUUUGCCUCAUAUUUAUCUAUUGCCGCUCCUAUUUUUCCUCGGUCUACUCCAUCACCUACUAAUCAAUCCCCUAUUGUCAUUUCUGUCCCUUCUAAUUCUUUGAUUCCGAAUCUUGAACCUGCUCCUCUUUUUACCACUAAUUUCCCUAGUUCUACUUCCAUUUCUACUUCUACUUCUCAUUCUUCUUCUAUCUCUAGUCCUCCUCCUAUGGUCUUGGAAACUGCCUUUUGCAGGUCACUCAGGGAGCAUAAAACUCUUUCAUAUCUUUC